UAGGGAAUCUUCGGCAAUGGACGAAAGUCUGACCGAGCAACGCCGCGUGAGUGAAGAAGGUUUUCGGAUCGUAAAACUCUGUUGUUAGAGAAGAACAAGGACGUUAGUAACUGAACGUCCCCUGACGGUAUCUAACCAGAAAGCCACGGCUAACUACGUGCCAGCAGCGGCGGUAAUACGUAGGUGGCAAGCGUUGUCCGGAUUUAUUGGGCGUAAAGUGGGCGCAGGCGGUUUCUUAAGUCUGAUGUGAAAGCCCCCGGCUCAACCGGGGAGGGUCAUUGGAAACUGGGAGACUUGAGUGCAGAAGAGGAGAGUGGAAUUCCAGGUGUAGCGGUGAAAUGCGUAGAUAUAUGGAGGAACACCAGUGGCGAAGGCGGCUCUCUGGUCUGUAACUGACGCUGAGGCUCGAAAGCGUGGGGAGCAAACAGG
rnacentral:rRNA from 1 species